rnacentral:lncRNA from 12 species
CAACAAUAAGAGAAGGUUGACUCAGAACAGCACAAAGGGUAUUCCCUAAGCAAAAGCUUCUGACAUACAGGAACUGUUGCUAUGCCUGGUCAGGCUGCAGCCAAAGGAAACUGUUAAUCCCAGACAGGCAGACCUGCUGUGGACAUUGUACAGCCUAGCAAACUUUUGCUUUGAUGCAACUUCACUUUGUAACGGCCUUUAUCCUGCACCAGGGCUUCACAAAUAAACGCAUUUG